rfam:Strongylocentrotus purpuratus Contig125225_fixed, whole genome shotgun sequence.
CAAACGGCCCUUUUCAGAGCCACCACAUCCUCAAGAAAGAACAAACU